rnacentral:rRNA from 1 species
UACGUAGGGUGCAAGCGUUGUCCGGAAUUAUUGGGCGUAAAGAGCUCGUAGGUGGCCUGUCGCGUCGGCUGUGAAAACUCGGGGCUCAACUCCGAGCUUGCAGUCGAUACGGGCAGGCUAGAGUUCGGCAGGGGAGACUGGAAUUCCUGGUGUAGCGGUGAAAUGCGCAGAUAUCAGGAGGAACACCGGUGGCGAAGGCGGCGCUCUGGACCGAGACUGACGCUGAGGCGCGAAAGCGUGGGGAGCAAACAGG